rnacentral:tRNA from 1 species
GGGGAGAUGGCUCAGUGGGUAAGAGCACUGACUGCUCUUCCAGAGGUCCUGAGUUCAAUUCCCAGCAACCACA